rnacentral:rRNA from 1 species
UACGUAGGGUGCGAGCGUUAAUCGGAAUUACUGGGCGUAAAGCGUGCGCAGGCGGUUCGUUGUGUCGGUGGUGAAAUCCCCGGGCUUAACCUGGGAAUGGCCAUGGAAACUGGCGAACUGGAGUGCGGCAGAGGGGGGUGGAAUUCCGCGUGUAGCAGUGAAAUGCGUAGAGAUGCGGAGGAACACCGAUGGCGAAGGCAGCCCCCUGGGCUAGCACUGACGCUCAGGCACGAAAGCGUGGGGAGCAAUCCGG